AUUGAACGCUGGCGGCAUGCCUUACACAUGCAAGUCGAACGGCAGCACGGGUGCUUGCACCUGGUGGCGAGUGGCGAACGGGUGAGUAAUACAUCGGAACAUGUCCUGUAGUGGGGAAUAGCCCGGCGAAAGCCGGAUUAAUACCGCAUACGAUCUACGGAUGAAAGCGGGGGACCUUCGGGCCUCGCGCUAUAGGGUUGGCCGAUGGCUGAUUAGCUAGUUGGUGGGGUAAAGGCCUACCAAGGCGACGAUCAGUAGCUGGUCUGAGAGGACGACCAGCCACACUGGGACUGAGACACGGCCCAGACUCCUACGGGAGGCAGCAGUGGGGAAUUUUGGACAAUGGGCGAAAGCCUGAUCCAGCAAUGCCGCGGGUGUGAAGAAGGCCUUCGGGUUGUAAAGCACUUUUGUCCGGAAAGAAAUCCUUGGCCCUAAUACGGUCGGGGGAUGACGGUACCGGAAGAAUAAGCACCGGCUAACUACGU
rnacentral:rRNA from 1 species